rnacentral:rRNA from 1 species
GAUGAACGCUGGCGGCGUGCUUAACACAUGCAAGUCGAACGGUGAAGGCGGAGCUUGCUCUGCUGGAUCAGUGGCGAACGGGUGAGUAACACGUGAGCAGUCUGCCCCUGACUCUGGGAUAAGCGCUGGAAACGGCGUCUAAUACUGGAUACGAGCUGCGAAGGCAUCUUCAGCAGCUGGAAAGAAUUUCGGUCAGGGAUGAGCUCGCGGCCUAUCAGCUUGUUGGUGAGGUAAUGGCUCACCAAGGCGUCGACGGGUAGCCGGCCUGAGAGGGUGACCGGCCACACUGGGACUGAGACACGGCCCAGACUCCUACGGGAGGCAGCAGUGGGGAAUAUUGCACAAUGGGCGAAAGCCUGAUGCAGCAACGCCGCGUGAGAGACGACGGCCUUCGGGUUGUAAACCUCUUUUAGCAGGGAAGAAGCGAAAGUGACGGUACCUGCAGAAAAAGCGCCGGCUAACUACGUG